rnacentral:rRNA from 1 species
UAGGGAAUAUUGGACAAUGGGGGGAACCCUGAUCCAGCCAUGCCGCGUGGAGGAAGACUGCCCUCUGGGUUGUAAACUCCUUUUAUAUGGGAAGAACCGUCCUCAUUGAUGAGUGACCUGACGGUACCAUAGGAAUAAGCACCGGCUAACUCCGUGCCAGCAGCCGCGGUAAUACGGAGGGUGCAAGCGUUAUCCGGAUUCACUGGGUUUAAAGGGUGCGUAGGCGGAUAUGUAAGUCAGUGGUGAAAUCAACGGGCUCAACCUGUUAACUGCCAUUGAUACUGUGUAUCUUGAAUAUGAGAGAGGUAGGCGGAAUGUUGCUUGUAGCGGUGAAAUGCUUAGAUAUGCUACGGGACACCGAUUGCGAAGGCAGCUUACUAUUUCGUAAUUGACGCUGAGGCACGAAAGCGUGGGUAGCGAACA